rnacentral:rRNA from 1 species
UCCGACGGUGAGGGACGAAAGCUAGGGGAGCGAACCGGAUUAGAUACCCGAGUAGUCCUAGCUGUAAACUCUGCGAGCUGGGUGUUGCAUAUUCUUCGGGAAUAUGCAGUGUCGUAGCGAAGGCGUUAAGCUCGCCGCCUGGGGAGUACGGUCGCAAGGCUGAAACUUAAAGGAAUUGGCGGGGGAGCACCACAAGGGGUGCGGCGUGCGGUUUAAUCUAAUUCAACGCAGAGAAUCUUACCAGAGGCGACGGCAGGAUGAAGGUCAGUCUGAAGGGCUUACCUGACGAGCCGAGAGGUAGUGCAUGGCCGCCGUCAGCUCGUGCCGUGAGGUGUCCUGUUAAGUCAGGUAACGAGCGAGACCUAUAUCCAUAAUUGCUAACAGGCUCAGCGACUGAGUACAUUAUGGGGACUGCCCGGGAAACUGGGAGGAAGGUGUAGGCAACGGUAGGUCUGUAUGCUCCGAAUCUUCUGGGCUACACGCGCGCAACAAUGGUAGGGACAAUGGGAUGCAACCCCGAGAGGGGAAGCCAAUCCUCUAAACCCUAUCCUAGUUCAGAUCGUGCACUGGAACCCGUGCACGUGACGAUGGAAUCCCUAGUAAUCGGAUCUCAUCACAGUCCGGUGAAUACGUCCCUGCUCCU